CAAUGUUGGUAGACUGUUGGGACUGUUUAGACUGUUGAGACUGUUGGCAAUGUUGGUAGACUGUUGGGACUGUUUAGACUGUUGGCAAUGUUGGUAGACUGUUGGGACUGUUUAGACUGUUGAGACUGUUGGCAAUGUUGGUAGACUGUUGGGACUGUUUAGACUGUUGGCAAUGUUGGUAGACUGUUGGGACUGUUUAGACUGUUGGGACUGUUUAGACUGUUGGGACUGUUUAGACUGUUGGGACUGUUUUUGCACUGUUGGGACUAUUUAGACUGUUUAGACUAUUUAGACUGUUGGGACUGUUUAGACUGUUGGGACUGUUUGGACUGACUGUUGGGACUGUUUGGACUGUUGGGACUGUUUAGACUGUUGGGACUGUUUAGACUGUUGGGACUGUUUAGACUGUUGGGACUGUUGGGACUGUUUAGACUGUUGGGACUGUUUGGACUGUUGGGACUGUUGGCAAUGU